AUUCAAUUGAUGAGUUCUGAACAGGACGAAACGCACGUCCUGGAU
rnacentral:hammerhead_ribozyme from 1 species